GGAUCAAGGAAUCGGUCAUGCCUUGGUAUGUACUGGUUUUAUUGGUUCUCACCUUCCUGAUGAACCUUAAUGUCAUUUAUUUGAUGUUAUGGGGAAUUAGGACUGUUACCUUGAAAAAAUUAGAGUGUUUAAAGCAAGCUUACGCUUGAAUACAUUAGCAUGGAAUAAUGAAAUAGGACAUCAUAUUCUAUUUUGUUGGUUUCUAGGAUUGACGUA
rnacentral:rRNA from 1 species